rnacentral:tRNA from 1 species
CUCCGAACUGGUGUAUCGGUAACAUAUCCGCCUCUCACCAUUCGAAAGAAUUAUGAAUCCGCGGUUGCGCGGGGUUCGACUCCCCGGUUCGGAA